GACGAGCGGCGGACGGGUGAGUAAUGUCUGGGAAACUGCCUGAUGGAGGGGGAUAACUACUGGAAACGGUAGCUAAUACCGCAUAACGUCGCAAGACCAAAGAGGGGGACCCUUUCGGGCCUCUUGCCAUCAGAUGUGCCCAGAUGGGAUUAGCUAGUAGGUGGGGUAAUGGCUCACCUAGGCGACGAUCCCUAGCUGGUCUGAGAGGAUGACCAGCCACACUGGAACUGAGACACGGUCCAGACUCCUACGGGAGGCAGCAGUGGGGAAUAUUGCACAAUGGGCGCAAGCCUGAUGCAGCCAUGCCGCGUGUGUGAAGAAGGCCUUCGGGUUGUAAAGCACUUUCAGCGAGGAGGAAGGUGGUGAGCUUAAUACGUUCAUCAAUUGACGUUACUCGCAGAAGAAGCACCGGCUAACUCCGUGCCAGCAGCCGCGGUAAUACGGAGGGUGCAAGCGUUAAUCGGAAUUACUGGGCGUAAAGCGCACGCAGGCGGUUUGUUAAGUCAGAUGUGAAAUCCCCGGGCUCAACCUGGGAACUGCAUUUGAAACUGGCAAGCUAGA
rnacentral:rRNA from 1 species